CAAUGGUCAAAGUUCUGCUACCUAGAAUCACCAUUUGGAAAGGGUACAUCACAGAGAAUGUAGAUAACGCAGUAUACGUAACACAUACUAUUCAUAAAUAAAAUUGACAUGUACAUGCCAGGAUGCUGGAACAGUUUGCAUAGUAGGGGUGCUGAGAGCCAUUGAACCAAACUGUAAACCCUAUAUAUGAUGGAAACCACUUCAAGCCAGGGGGUGCAGUGGCACCCCCAGACCCCCUAGUUCCAGCAUCUAUGCAUGGAGAUGAGUUGUGCUU